rnacentral:lncRNA from 1 species
CACCCUUAACUCCCUCCGUCCUGCAGGUCGUGGCCACUCCAGGAAGGAGAAGCAGAACUGUCAGACACUGACCAGUCUCCAUGGUGACCCUUGUGUUUAGCAAUACCUGGGGACUGACUACAGUGCUUGUCCACUGGAGAUUAAAGGAGCAUAUCAUGGAAUGGCUAGAAGGGAGGAAGCAGCUGACUCGAGGGCGGACUGUACAGAGCAGGUGAUGGAAAAUAGAAGAUACCAGUGGGAGAAUGGAGCUACCAGUGAUC